UACGUAGGGAGCAAGCGUUGUCCGGAAUCAUUGGGCGUAAAGCGCGCGUAGGUGGCCAUGUAAGUCCGCUGUGAAAGUCAAAGGCUCAACCUUUGAAAGCCGGUGGAUACUGCAUGGCUAGAGUACGGAAGAGGCGAGUGGAAUUCCUGGUGUAGCGGUGAAAUGCGCAGAUAUCAGGAGGAACACCGAUGGCGAAGGCAGCUCGCUGGGACGGUACUGACGCUGAGGCGCGAAAGCGUGGGGAGCAAACAGG
rnacentral:rRNA from 1 species